GAGGAGGGCGCGGCGGUGGCCUUUGCGCCGGGACAGCCCUAAACCCUUCUUAAGGUGAUCGCCUGCACGCUCAGCGGCGGGGCUGGGGACAACCAGCCGCCUUUCGGCUGGGGACCGGGCGGAGAAGCGUAGACUCUGUUGGCUGUGCCAAAGACGUCACAUGGCUUCGUCGCUUCCUCGCCACCCUUAUUCCCAGGGCCAAGGAGGACUCCUGGCCUUCCCACCCAUACAUGCAGAACAGACUGGGCCAAGUGGAAGACCCUCUAGAAGAGAAGUGAGGAGUGCCAUGAAAAGGACUAUGUCCCUAGAGAGAAGGACUGGGUUCCCUGAGGGCAUCACAGCAAUGCCCCUGCUGCCUUCUGCUGCUGCUUCUCCUGGGAGGGAACAGAUCCCUGCCUACCAUCCACAGGGCUGCUGAAAGCUUGGCUGAGCCCAAUCAAUUUAUCUCCUGUUACUGUUAUUAAAUCUGACCUGAAGUGGAGGAAAAAUAGCAUUUUUAGGAUUGCAGGAUAUUAAGAAACCUCUUUAGAGAUGAAAGAAAUGCCCAGUACCAUUACUCUGGGGAAGAAUUGUGUUCCACUGGUUUCAUUGUCAUUUAACACAGAACAUAAAGGUUACUGCUGAAUAAAAUAAUACUCAUGUUGAUUAUU